AUUGAACGCUGGCGGCAUGCUUUACACAUGCAAGUCGAACGGCAGCGCGGGCUUCGGCCUGGCGGCGAGUGGCGAACGGGUGAGUAAUGCAUCGGAACGUGCCCAGUAGUGGGGGAUAGCCCGGCGAAAGCCGGAUUAAUACCGCAUACGACCUGAGGGUGAAAGCGGGGGACCGAAAGGCCUCGCGCUAUUGGAGCGGCCGAUGUCGGAUUAGCUAGUUGGUGGGGUAAAGGCUUACCAAGGCGACGAUCCGUAGCUGGUCUGAGAGGACGACCAGCCACACUGGGACUGAGACACGGCCGAGACUCCUACGGGAGGCAGCAGUGGGGAAUUUUGGACAAUGGGGGCAACCCUGAUCCAGCCAUGCCGCGUGCGGGAAGAAGGCCUUCGGGUUGUAAACCGCUUUUGUUCGGGAAGAAAUCCUCUGGGCUAAUACCCCGGGGGGAUGACGGUACCGGAAGAAUAAGCACCGGCUAACUACGUG
rnacentral:rRNA from 1 species